UACGAAGGGGGCUAGCGUUGCUCGGAUUCACUGGGCGUAAAGCGCACGUAGGCGGAUUGCUAAGUCAGGGGUGAAAUCCUGGAGCUCAACUCCAGAACUGCCCUUGAUACUGGCGGUCUCGAGUCCGGGAGAGGUGAGUGGAACUGCGAGUGUAGAGGUGAAAUUCGUAGAUAUUCGCAAGAACACCAGUGGCGAAGGCGGCUCACUGGCCCGGUACUGACGCUGAGGUGCGAAAGCGUGGGGAGCAAACAGG
rnacentral:rRNA from 1 species